UAUGUCUCAUUUUAAUGUUAGUUAGGGCCGUUACAGAGUCAACGCGAGCAACGCGCUCCCUUUCAUAGUCUACACAGCGGACGCAAGCGUCAUGGGCGAUGCAUAAGAUGGAAUACACCGCUCACGCAACAGGGGGUAGCAGAGAUGGCUGAUAUUCAGAUCAAAAUGGCAAAUG